rnacentral:rRNA from 1 species
CAGGUUACAAAUCUGGCUGUCGUGAUGCCUAAAAAGCAUUGCAUAGCAAGGGCCGGGCAAGACCGGUGCCAGCCGCCGCGGUAACACCGGCGGCUCGAGUGGUAACCGUUAUUAUUGGGUCUAAAGGGUCUGUAGCCGGCCGGAUAAGUCUCUUGAGAAAUCCGGCAGCUCAACUGUUGGGCUUUCAGGAGAUACUGUCUGGCUCGAGGCCGGGAGAGGUGAGAGGUACUUCAGGGGUAGGGGUGAAAUCUUGUAAUCCUUGAAGGACCACCAGUGGCGAAGGCGUCUCACCAGAACGGACCUGACGGCAAGGGACGAAAGCUAGGGGCACGAACCGGAUUAGAUACCCGGGUAGUCCUAGCCGUAAACGAUACUCGCUAGGUGUCGGCCACGGUGCGACCGUUGUCGGUGCCGUAGGGAAGCCGUGAAGCGAGCCACCUGGGAAGUACGGCCGCAAGGCUGAAACUUAAAGGAAUUGGCGGGGGAGCACCACAACGGGUGGAGCUUGCGG